GUAAAUUCUACUGUCAAACAGCGGAUCCUGAGUGGACCCAUGUCGGAUCCGCGGGCGCGGACGCGCCUUUACUGUAACGGUUGAACAUGACUGUACACCAAGAGCCAAGAAGAGUCAUACUAGUGGAUAUUUUCUUUGCUGGGACACGGUUGCGCUGAACCCUCUCGACCAUCGUUUCGGGGACUCUGAUGACAGUGAAGAGCCAGAAAAUGGUGACUUUGCAUCUCUGAGGUACCUUCCAACUCGCCUGGUAUAUCAGUUGAAGCCUCAAGCCCAAGCCUAUUGCACUGGCAAACUCCACCAUGUCGCCGAGUGCCAGGCAGCCGAGUCACUACCCCUCAACCUGGAGAAAACUGUUAAGGUAAAGACUGAUCUCUGAA